GACGAACCGUGCGAACGUUGUUCGGAAUCAUUGGGCUUAAAGGGCGCGUAGGCGGGCCGCCGAGUCCGGGGUGAAAUCCCCCGGCUCAACUGGAGAACGGCCCUGGAUACUGGAGGUCUCGAGGGGGGUAGGGGCACGCGGAACUGCGGGUGUAGCGGUGAAAUGCGUUGAUAUCCACAGGAACUCCGGUGGCGAAGGCGGCGUGCUGGACCGUUUCUGACGCUGAGGCGCGAAAGCCAGGGGAGCAAACGGG
rnacentral:rRNA from 1 species